AGCAGCCGCGGUAAUUCCAGCUCCAAUAGCGUAUAUUAAAGUUGUUGCAGUUAAAAAGCUCGUAGUUGAAUUUCGGGGUCAGUAGGUUGGUCAUGCCACUGGUAUGUACUGAUCUUUACUGAUUCCUCCUUCCUGAUGAACCGUAAUGCCAUUAAUUUGGUGUUGCGGGGAGACUGGACUGUUACUUUGAAAAAAUUAGAGUGUUUAAAGCAGGCUAACGCUUGAAUACAUUAGCAUGGAAUAAUGAAAUAGGACGUUCGAUCCUAUUUUGUUGGUUUCUAGGAUUGACGUAAUGAUUAAUAGGGAUAGUUGGGGGCAUUAGUAUUCAAUUGUCAGAGGUGAAAUUCUUGGAUUUAUUGAAGACUAACUACUGCGAAAGCAUUUGCCAAGGAUGUUUUCAUUAAUCAAGAACGAAAGUUAGGGGAUCGAAGACGAUCAGAUACCGUCGUAGUCUUAACCAUAAACUAUGCCGACUAGGGAUCGGAUGAUGUUAAUUUUAUAAUGACUCAUUCGGCGCCUUACG
rnacentral:rRNA from 1 species